GUUCUAACUGGUAGCCUUGCCAGCAGCAGGAGCAUUUUUCACGAUACAUGUUAAGCUUCAAUUUAUAUUAGCCACUUGGUUCAGCUGAUAUUUUUGGUGUUGAUGAUUUUUACUGACUUCAUGAGGAGUGGGAGAGCCCUCAGGAUAAUUUUUACUAAUUUCUCUCCAAGGGAGAGACUUUCACGGUCCAGCGUGCCUCCCCACAGGCUUGCCAGGGAAACAAAGCCAUCCUUGGGGAGCUUGAUGUGUGGAAAGGAGGGGGGGGCUAUCCAGUGGACCCUCUGCCAUGGGGAGGCCAGCAGAAGUACAAUUGACAGGCCGAUUACCUCAGUGCAACUCGUGCACUAACCCACUAGAAACCAGUUUAAAAGCUUUCCUCCAAAACUACAUUCUUCUGCUUGUUGCGGUAUGUUGGAUAGGAGGCUGCAUUCCCUUACACUGGAAUUUCCUGUAUUAGCACUGCACAGGAGUGGAUUUAUUUUGUAGUCCUUGAGAUUUGAGCUUCAUGGAUUUUACAGCCUUUAUGUGCCACAAAACAAAGAUUUGGUUUCUACCGAGGCUUUGCAGAAAGGAUUACCAUCUGCUGACUUGUUGGUCUACCAAAGACUGAUGCUCUCCAAGACUACAGGUGACCCUGACCAGGAUUAUCUCACUGAACAGCUGCACUAUGGAAUUCACCCUGGAUGAAUGGGAAUGCCAAUGUCUUCACCUCCUGAAGAGAGGACAGAGCUCUCAGACUGAAUUAGCCACAGCUGGAUAGGUUGUUUUGAAAUCUCCACAAUUUUCAGACCUGGAAGAUUUUUCCAUCAUGCUGGUCUGGGGUAGGCAUUUGGUGGAUUCAUCUCAGUGACUGUGAAAUUCCUGAGGAUGUUAUUACUUUCAAGUCAGAUUAACGGAGUAAUUUCCAGACAACCAUGCUACCAGAAUACAUGAUACUACUCCUAAAGUGGACCUCAAAAACUUUGAGAAAGAAAAUGAUUCCAUCUUUUUUGAUCAGGUUCUUCCUCUACAGGAGUUCCUGCAGCUACAGGACCAGGAGAUGUUCAAAUGAAUCUUGGGAGGAAUAAAUUAUAGAAGUCACAGAAGGUUGUUUCUGAAGAAAGAGCAGCCGUGUGCUUUAAACCAUGUGUUCUUGCUGGUCUGAAAUGGGCCCAAUCUUUUCUACUAUUAAAAAGCGUAAGUAUGUUUGGGUGUGGAUUUUAAUACUUGGUUACACACAUGAAAUUGAGCACCUAAGUCCUGUUCCUUUUUGUCUUUCUGACAGCAGUGCUUCAGACUUGUCAGAAGUUUUACUGUUCUCUUUUUAUUGUGAUCCUGAUCAACAGGACACUUCAGUGCCUCCUAAAUAUUUAUGGACUUCAGAGUCAUUCAGAUGCUCUGUGAUUGUCUUACUGUUACUGUUUUAUUGCCAGAAGAUGGAGGCAAUACCAGAAGUGACUUGGUCAGCCUUGGUUUUCCCCUUUUUCUUUGUCCAGUCCUCGUGUCUUUUACGUUUCUUCUGUUUUGUCUUCUUUCCAGUGUUUCUGCCUCACUGACUAGUCCUGUCCUCACUGCCUCCUAUCUGUCUUUCAUACAUCUGUCUCCAUUUAUUCUUCUCUAACAAUUGCACUAAAGAGGGCCCAUGAUAGAGAGAAAUGCUUUUUGCCUUGGCAGCAGCCUUCCCCUAAAUAUCUGGGAUGGGUCCAAGCAGCUCUCGCCGUGUUUGUCAUCCUUCUCCACAUCCCUGGUGUCCCUGAGCUCCAGCCAGCAAUUCCAUAUCUGCCACGAGGGCACCUCCCAUUCAGCCACAAUCAGAUGAAGGUGUUGUAAUGCUGUGUGCUACUUGCACUGCUCACCAUGCUUGAACAGCCUCUUUCUAGGAACUGAACGUGUGCACCAGGCCUUUCCCACAGAAUAAUGACAGAUAGCAAUGCUGCCUUUUGCACGUCUUGCCUGUGCUCCUCUGCCCUUCUUUCUCUAAUAGGCUUUUGUGGUUCAGUCUGCUGGCUGGUGCCAUUACACUCAGACACAAGACUUGUCUUCAGCUUUGCCCAGGGCGAGGUGAGCUGGAAUCCCUUGCCCCCCUAGUCAGCACUCUACCCAAGAGAUUAUCAGCUGUUCUGCAAGGAGUGUGUCCUUGCAGCCCUGAGUGUGUGUGUCCUGAGUCCUUUCUCCAUGUGGGAAAGCUUGCGCUGGACUUGUCAGCUGCAUAGUGGAAAAACAUGUCUGUCAGGCCCUACCUUCAGAAAUACAAAAUAUGGAAGUAUUCACUAGAAAGGGGAAACAGAACCCAAGUUUCUUCCUCAGUAAUGCUCUGAGAGCAAUUAUUCCUUACAAACUGGAACAGCUCCAAGGGAAUGGACCCCUAUUCCACUGGAUUCUUUCAGGCUGUGCUGUUCUCGCUUGGCUGCUGAGAGUCAAAUUGUGGGAAUGGAUAGUGAGGAAAUAUGUAGAGGCUGUAAGGGAGGGAAGGAAAAGGUGCUUCUGAACAUACUCUGUUAUCCACGGUGACAGGUCCAUAUCCUUAGCAGACACACACACCUGCCACUACUGCCUCUGUGGCUAUUCUGGACAGGAGUGACAAUGAAAAUGCCGUGGAGGGAAAAAAAAUCUGCUAAAAGACAGGGCAACAGACUGGGGCACUGUAAGGGUGAUUGCUUCUAAAGGUGAAAAUGCAACAAAAACAGACUAAAGAGUCUUAAAAUGCAAAAUCAAUGCCAAAGAAGAGGAAGCCAAAAUGACUUCCAAGCUCAUCUACAGGCAGUUGUCCCCAAGCACAAGCCAGACUCUUAGGUGGGAGACAUCCAGGAAUUUUCUCUCAUACAAAAUUAUUAGGGAUGUUAUAUGUUUUAACUCGAAUGGAAAAGCUGGACCUCUGGCGCUCAGUUCCAAGGGAAAAUACUAGCCAUUGGAAGAGCUGUGGUACCACGGCUCUGUGUGUGUGUGUGUAUGUGUGUGUGGCUGCUCCCUUUUCUCUUAGCUAUUCUAUAGCUUCCUUCAUUCUUCGCUUCUCUCAUAUUACAGAAAGAAGGUAAUUUUUCCUGGCCAUUUACUAAAGCUCAUUAAAGACCGAAGAGAACAAACAAUGCUACUCCUUAGAGACUACCAUUCAAAGUCAUUCUACAAUUCUCUGUUCUAAUACUUGAGACAAAUUAAUUAUUCCUUACUGAAAAGUAUAUAAUUCCUAUUCUUCAUUUUUGGGGUGGGGAGUGGGGAAUAAUAAUAGGAAGUUUAUAUCUGAGUCGAAAGCUGUCUGUGCUGAAGGGAAAUGAGAAAAAAUGCGUGUUCCGAGAAGAGUAAAAGCAAUUAUUCUAAUAAUAAUUCUAGGGAUAUUAAUGUCUUUUUAAAGUAGAUUGCUUUCAAAUAAACACCAAAGUUGAAGGGAUAGGAAAGGCUGGUUUAUUUAUUAAUCAUUUCAAAAGUGCAUUUUUCUAAAUGAACAAGUGCAUGAGCAACUUCACUGGCACAUAUUAAAUUUAGUUAAAUGGCAACUUGUAAAUGUCUAAAAACUUCUGUAACCAGAGACUAAUUUGUUUAACGUGUUGAAAAUGUUAUGUGGAUGUGAGGAACUACAUAUUAAACUUCAAAGCAAAAUACUCCAGAGAUUACACCAUCUUAAAGACUGCGUAUUGGAAAGGCCUUUAUACAUUAAACAUAAAGGAUUUUUAAUUCUCUUCUAUUUUGAAUACUUGUCAAUCUGUGUGACUCAUGCUCAGGAUUGUAAACUGUCAUUUAAGGUGUGAUGUCCAAGUUGAGGCCUGGACCACAAUUUGCAAGGGGCUGGCUUUUCUCUUUCAUCUCUAUUAAUUAAUCCUGUCUCAGUUUGCCCAGCGUACACUGCUGUUGACAUCACCUUUUCCAUAUACUUUAAAGAGUCCCCCGAGAGAUCUACUGCAGAACAAAAACUGGACAGAGAAUACAUUUGGAAACCAUUUUAUUUUUCAAUUACCAACCAAAACGUAUGGAAAAGAUUUACACUCUAUCUGAUUUACACAAUAAUUAUACUUUGAAAGCUUAGAAAUAAAUGGCUUGAUCCAUGGAAUCAUUAGUUACUAUACCAAAUGUAAUUGGUGUAAACUAAUGAGUUUACUGGAUGGCUGACCCUUAAUUACUGAUUAUAGUUAAAUGCUAGCCAAUCAAAAAUGAGUUUACUUAUAAAAGUACAGUAUAGUAUUAACAAGCAUUACAUUUCCAAGUAAGCAGCUUUAUGAUUAGUUGUAGCACACAACUCGAGCCUGUUCAGGGCUAUGAAAAGCAGCUUUUUAAUAAUAGUGCACUAAGCAACCAUCACUCUCUUACCUCAGCAUCUAUCAGACAAACAGAAAGAAACCACAUAAUUAAUCAUCUCAUGCACUAGAAAUAAAGUGUCUGGGCCAGAUCCAGCCAGGAUAUACGCAGCCGUAGUCAGAGGAGCUCCAAGAGGCUCAGGAUUUGCUUUAAAAUAGGAUACCUGACGUGGUGAAUUCUGUCCCCCUGUAGUAAGGAUGUUAAAUAUUGAUUGAUUGUACACAGUCCUGUGUGAUGUGGAGAAGCCCAUCAACAACGUUGCCUAAUAAUUCCUCCAAUUGAGGAGGAUUCCUUGAGCAGAUUCUGUAUGUGGUGAGAAGAUACCCACUCACUCCACUAGCAGCCCUCAACAUGCAGAAAUUCACAGCUCCUCACUAUUUAUUAUGUCAAAUGAAGAGUCAACUUUUAAAUAAACUAGUAAACGAGAAGAAAAUCUUUGUAUUUGUUUCUGGCCGAUCCUUAAGAGUUAAUGUUUUUACCUAACCAGGAAAACUCAAAAUUCUUAUUACAAAAAAUUGAAAGCAGAUUUGUAUAAAAGAGCAUGAUUUCAGAGUUGCAACUUUAAAUAGAUACAGCAAAUAUUUGGAUAAAAUCGUAGGACUUUACAAUAGUCAUAUUCUUAGAGGCACUUAGGUAAGUAAGGACAAUGUUUUAAAGAUGUGGAAAUUCUCCAUCUCCUCUAACUUUCCCGUGAAUCCUAAAUUUCAAGAUAGGAGACUGCUGCUGGGAGGCAUGUGCAUUAGCAAAUGAAGUCUGAUACACUGCAGCCAUGGGGACCAAGUUGGAAGAGUAUGCAUUUGCUGGAGCUCUGUAACCCAUGUGCUCUUCAGAUGACCUCAUGCACCUCACGGUUGCCAGGAUUCAUCCUGUCUGGAUUACAGGUUUCUCCCAUUUCUGCUUCUCUCUAUGAAGUUGUCCUCAGUGCUCACCUCACGUAAAGAGCUAGGCUCAGUGAAGGACCAUCCUCAUCUGGUGGCUCUUUGGCACAAGUGCUGUAACACUUGCUCGUUUAUUAUUAAAAAACAAUCUUAAAACUCAGAAGAUGAAGAAUGAAUUACUUCUUGGAGCGUCUGCAUACGGGUUAAAAAGAAAUUCGCACAUUUACUGAAUUCCUGUUUUUCAGAUGUCCGAGGUCAAGAAAAGGUUAAAGUUGUUCACUGCUUUCAAGCUCUGGCCUUAGAAGUUAAUUCAGUGCUGUGCUGCGAGAGCUACAGAGUAAAUCCUUGGAACAGUGAAUUGCUGGUUUGAUAUCAAGCUCACGUCAACAUUUCUAUCAGAAAGAAUCACCAUAAUCACCAGAUAUAUUAGCAGAAACUGCUCCUUCCCAUUGACCACAUACGCCAAAAUCCUUGGAAACUCUUAAGCCGUGGACUUCCCCUGAAGACAUACAGAGAAAAUGGCUCAAGCGAACACUCCUCCAUUCCUUCAGUGGAGCCCAGGUCAGCUGUGACAAGCAUCUGCUCUGUGGGUAGGUGCAAAAUACACGACAAAGAUAUCGGCCGUGGAUCCCUUCUGUAAACGAUGACCUCAUCCGGAGGUUAUGGGACCUUCACGAGGAUACCAGUCGUACUCCUCCAUGGCGAUGUGUUACAGACUCUUUUUGGACACCACACCGAAGUGCAGCUACGAUGUUAAAAGAAAAAUGUUCCUUUGACAAAUGAAAUCUUUAAAAUGGCAACAAGCAAGGAAAAAGUCAGCUCUGAGUGGAAAACAUUUAAUAUGUUUUGAUGAUUUCUUAUCUCAGACAGAAGAGAAGACAAGUUGAUUUUCUCUGCUGAAACUUUUUGAAAUGUAGCGUUCAAGACACAAAGCCUAGCAGUGUGACGUGGAAGAUAUCAAGACAAAGCAGCAGCCUCAACAUCUCUCUCUAAUGAGAACAGGAAAAGACAAUUGAGAUCCCGUAGGAAUGCAGUAUAUUUAGGAGAGAAGCAGAGCUCCUUUCACGAAUGGAGAGAGAACCCUGGUGAAUGCUGGACUACCUGCUAUCUCUGGGUGUGACUAGGUGAGUGAAGGAUUUGGAUCACAGCCUGUAACGUUUUCCAGACAUUUAGAGUGCAACUACUACAACUACUACGCCAGCAAUUUUAUGCCUUCCUUUCCCUGACUCCAACAGUAUGCGAGAUAAGCAGCCAGAUUUUCUUCUGCAUUGUGUUUUUUUAUCCAUUCAGCCAAAAUUAACAGUCUUCAAGGAUAAUGUAUGCCAAGCGAAUUUAAAUCUUGCGGACUCAAAUCGACCUAAAGUUGAUGGAUACAUUCAUGCCUACUGCUGAAAUCUACCAAUUACACAGAACUAUGCUAACUUACCAUAGAAACAUCUCAUCUAAUAGCACAGAUGAUGUUGAACUAACUAAUUACAUUAUGGCACAUAGACAAUGAAAAACAUAACGAAGAUGACAGCACAGCAACAACAGAUGCUGCACAAAAGAAAAAUUAGAAAAAUAUUGCUCUGCAAAAUGCUGUCUGUUAAGGUUUCUUCUGUUAAAAUUAAUCACAAAAAUUAGUGAAGAUUAGAUUUCAGCAGAAGAUACGAGCAUUGUAAUGCUAUUUGGAAAACGUCAUUAAACCAUUUAAAGUCCUACUCUUUCAGAAGGUAAUUCCCCCUUUUUUUUUUGUAUCACUGUCGGCUUUAAGAUGAGUAAACAGUUCAGUGCCGAUGGCAGAGUUUCUUGGGAGGAUGUCUUUCCCAGUGAGGAGAGGUCCCGAUGGCUCUUCCAGAGCCGUGUUUGGUAGCUUCCAGCCAUUAGAGCUUAGAUAAUUAG
ensembl:lncRNA